rnacentral:rRNA from 1 species
ACUCCUACGGGAGGCAGCAGUGGGGAAUAUUGCACAAUGGGCGCAAGCCUGAUGCAGCCAUGCCGCGUGUAUGAAGAAGGCCUUCGGGUUGUAAAGUACUUUCAGCAGUGAGGAAGGCGGUACGUUAAUAGUACGUGCUCGUUUGAUCGUUUAGCUGCAGAAGAAGACACCGGCUAACUCCGUGCCAGCAGCCGCGGUAAUACGGAGGGUGCGAGCGUUAAUCGGAAUUACUGGGCGUAAAGCGCAUGCAGGUGGCUUGUUAAGUCAGAUGUGAAAGCCCGGGGCUCAACCUCGGAAUAUGACA